rnacentral:lncRNA from 1 species
ACUAGGUAUACCAGGGCUUAUUACAAAGUCUACCCUUGUUGUGUAUGAAAAUCAAUUCAGCUCUUUAGCCCAGCUGAUAAACAGACUGUCUGUGUCUUUAGGUGAUUCAUCUGUGUGACGAAUGCUAAAAUAUCCAGAUUCAGUUUUCUCCAAGUGUGUAUAUUAUAAAAACAUUGUCUCUGUAACAUGAGUGUUUCACUCUGCUUGGCCUUUCCAUGCUAUAUUGCUAUACACCCCUUUGGCUUGCCAGUCGCAGUCCUGACUGGGGGGAAGAACCCAACAAAUUGGCUUUGCUGCGGGGUUUGCCAGUGGGAGUCCAGGGAGAAAACCAAGCUGAAACUGGCACACACGCUGCAUUUACUUUAAGCUUAUAUUUCAGCCGCCUAGCAAACCCGAUGGGAAACUUGAUUUCUAAACAUGAACAUUAUUGAAUUUUAGCAGCUAUAUUUAGGUCAAUCUCUUCAUGCCAAAAUUAUUAGGCUCUACUAGGAAAAAAAUACAUUACCGUCGAGAAACAUGUUAGCACUACUUGUGUUAAAUGGAAUAACUGUAUUUUAAUGCACUUUUACCCGUACCUGAAGAUCCAGUGUCUGCUUCUGACAUCAUGAAAAACCCGAGAAGCUUGUAUCUGGAUGUUCUACAAGUAUUUUCUUUAUCGGGCAAUCACUCAGUCUGGCUCAGACAGAUAUUUCUGUUGGGGAAAUGCUCUUUACCAUUUUUUUCCUAUGCCUGUGCUUCUCCUUUCUUUGUGCCAGUGCAGGUGUUACAGUGAAGGAGAGUUUGCUGAAGAAAAUGAUCCGGGAAAAAUACCGUGCAGAAAAAGGCCCCGCCAGAGGGACAUCUGUGAUGGCCCGGGUGAGAGCUGCCUCUAAGUUAGAAAUACUGUAAAGGAGCAAGUGCACAACCCCAGGGCUGUGAAUUUCAACACCUCUCCUGGUAGCACACGAAAGGCAGUAUUGUUUCUGAAAGUGCAAUAGUAUUUUAAAAAUCCAAUUAAAGAUCUUACGUUCAAGAUAUCUUGUUUUCUGUUCUAAAUAAUCGGCAGUUUACAGUAAAACUUUGUCAUCCAGGCAAAAGCUUGAAGUUAAGAGAAACAUUAUGUGAUCUUAGAAUCCAUUAUGCAUCUUUUUAUUUAUUGAAGGCUUGCUGUAGAAUCUGCUUGUUUCCGAGGAAUGAAAAUUGCUUAUUAUCCUGGAUAAUGAAAGAGAAUGUCGUCAUCUAUAAUUGUUAGUUUAGGAUACUUACUGUACCCUUCUAUUAUAAAGUGGUUUGCAUAAAAAUGGUUCAGUUAAGGAAGCAGCUUUUAAGGUUUUUCAGAAAAAAAAAGAAGGAUUUGUAUAUAAGUGAAGUUUAUGCAUUUUUGACUGCAAAAUGUAUUGGAACAAGUUUCUAAUUGACAGAUUGUAAUUUGAAUAUGUGUGCUAUCUGCUGAGUGCAAUCC